UUCCAACCCUUCUGGAGCAAUUCCCACCCUUGUUUCAACCAUCUGAGGAGGUAGUUAGGCGCCGGGGUUAGCGUGGUGAGUGACUUCGGCCAAGGCCAAGGAGGUAAGGGCAAGGCUCCCAUGUACGGCUAACGGUGGAUGCUGCGAAGGCCAUGAAAAUCUUAAGGAAGGGUUGUAGUGUCG